rnacentral:rRNA from 1 species
UAAUUAGCGCCAGGGUAUUACGAGCUUAAGCUUAAAACCCAAAGGACUUGACGGUGUCCCACCCACCUAGAGGAGCCUGUUCUAUAAUCGAUACUCCCCGCUUCACCUCACCAUUUUUAGCCUCUCAGCCUGUAUACCUCCGUCGCAAGCUUACCUUGUGAACGCUCUUAGUAAGCUUAAAGGUCCUACACCAACACGUCAGGUCAAGGUGCAGCUUAUGAAAUGGAAAGCAAUGGGCUACAAUUUCUAAUGUAGAACAAACGAAAGACUGCAUGAAAUACAGUCAUGAAGGCGGAUUUAGUAGUAAAAAGAAAAUAGUGUGUUCUUUUUAACUAGGCACUGGGACGCGUACACACCGCCCGUCACCCUC